rnacentral:lncRNA from 1 species
UGAUACAUAUGAGAGUGCGAAAGAAAUAAGUGUGGGAGUGUAUGAAUCUAUGGUAGGACUAUGAUUGGUGUAAUGAAACAUAUUUUUCAAUUUCAAUUCAUAAGUUCCAUUAUUAGUGCAAUAUUUUGAGUUGAGAAAAAAAAGAGGGGAUAAAAAAAAAGUGAUGGAGGAAAUGAUCUUCAAUGUUCCAAAAUUAUUCCAUGUUCGUAAUUCCUCCCAGUAUCACAAGAAAAUGCGUGGGUUGUGUGAAAUAGAUGCAAGGAAGUUGUGAAUGGAGAGAUUGAUUUUACAUGUUUUGUAUAUACAUUUGAGCUGAGUUAAUUCAUCUUUACUCCACUAGUUUCAAUGGCGUUGCCCACCUGGACCUUAAACCACGUUACAACCCAUAGAAAAUACCUUAUGAUUUGUGUAAUGCAUGUGAUCUAAUUGGUGGAGAAUGAGAAGAUAUGCAAGCAUAUGGUAGAUCAUGUCCAUUGGACUGAACUUGAGCGAAACACAUAUACCUUAAACACAUGAGAGUUGAGUG